UACGAAGGGUGCAAGCGUUGUCCGGAUUUAUUGGGUUUAAAGGGUGCGUAGGCGGCUUUAUAAGUCCGUGGUGAAAGCCAACAGCUCAACUGUUGAACUGCCAUGGAUACUGUAAGGCUUGAGUACAGACGAGGUAGGCGGAAUGGAUGGUGUAGCGGUGAAAUGCAUAGAUACCAUCCAGAACACCGAUUGCGUAGGCAGCUUACUAGGCUGUAACUGACGCUGAGGCACGAAAGCGUGGGGAGCGAACAGG
rnacentral:rRNA from 1 species